rnacentral:rRNA from 1 species
AUCAGUUACGGAGUUGAUUCGGGCUCCGGCCCGAUCCUCCCACCCUUUGUGUACCUACCUCUGUUGCUUUGGCGGGCCGCGGUCCUCCGCGGCCGCCCCCCUCCCCGGGGGGGUGGCCAGCGCCCGCCAGAGGACCAUCAAACUCCAGUCAGUAAACGAUGCAGUCUGAGGAACAUUUAAUAAACUAAAACUUUCAACAACGGAUCUCUUGGUUCUGGCAUCGAUGAAGAACGCAGCGAGAUGCGAUAAGUAAUGUGAAUUGCAGAAUUCAGUGAAUCGUCGAAUCUUUGAACGCACAUUGCGCCCUUUGGUAUUCCGAAGGGCAUGCCUGUUCGAGCGUCAUUACAACCCUCAAGCUCUGCUUGGUAUUGGGCACCGUCCUUUGCGGGCGCGCCUCGAAGACCUCGGCGGUGGCGUCUUGCCUCAAGCGUAGUAGAACAUACAUCUCGCUUCGGAGCGCAGGGCGUCGCCCGCCGGACGAACCUUCUGAACUUUUCUCAAGGUUGGCCUCGGAUCAGGUAGGGAUACCACGCUGAACUUAA